ensembl:misc_RNA Metazoa_SRP Metazoan signal recognition particle RNA
GUCGAGUGCAGUGGCACAUGCCUAUUGUACAAGUUACUCAAGAGGCUGAGGCCGAAGGAUCACUUGUGUCUAGGAGUUCUGGACUGUAGUGUGCUAUGUCAAUCAGGUGUCCACACUAAGUUCAGCAUCAACACAGUGACCUCCUGGGAGCAGGGGAUCAUCAAGUUGCCUAAAGAGACUGGGAAAUGACCCAAGUUGGAAACAGGGCAGAUCAAAACUCACAUGUUGAUCAGUAAUGAGAUCAUAGCUAUAAAUAGCUACUGCACUCCAGCCUAGGCAACAUAGUGAGAUCAUCUCUU